GCUUACGUAGUUUAUAUUAAAACAUCAGUCUUGUAAACUGAAAAUAAAGGCUAACCCCUUUCCUAACCA
rnacentral:tRNA from 1 species